rnacentral:snRNA from 1 species
AUAAUUAUCUGGUGCCGGGGCCUCAUUGAUCACCAAGGACCAGCCCCCAGGACGAGGCGCGGCAAUUGCAGUCUGCUCGCGUUGACCCCUGCCACUACCCAAAACUGGGGCAGAUGGGGCAUUCAAAAUGC